UACGUAGGGGGCAAGCGUUGUCCGGAAUCAUUGGGCGUAAAGAGCGUGUAGGCGGCCAGAAAAGUCUGCUGUGAAAACUCGAGGCUCAACUUCGAGCUGGCGGUGGAAACUUUCUGGCUAGAGUCCGGAAGAGGAGAAUGGAAUUCCUGGUGUAGCGGUGAAAUGCGCAGAUAUCAGGAAGAACACCCGUGGCGAAGGCGGUUCUCUGGGACGGUACUGACGCUGAGACGCGAAAGCGUGGGGAGCGAACAGG
rnacentral:rRNA from 1 species